rnacentral:lncRNA from 1 species
AUGGGAACCAAAAGGCCCAGCUGCACGCUCUCUGACACUUUAACUAAUAUCAACACAAUUGACCGCAAGCUUCAGCCAGGUGGAAAAAUCUCCCGGGAUCCAAGUCCUAGGCCAGCAAUGACUGCCCAGUCGGAGCGAGAGAGAGAGAGCAACAGAGAAGAAGAGAGGAGGAGGGAGCGAGAGAAAAUUAAGGACAAAUCAAGAUACAAAGAUAUGGACCCACGGGAUAGAUACUAUGAAAGAGACAGGGGUCCUCCAUCAAGGCCAAGAGAGGGCGAAAAAGAGUGGAUGGAAAGGAGGCAGGAAGAUGGAAGAAGCAAAAACGGGAGGCCGCUGUCAAGUGUAGAAAAGGAGACUUUGAGAGAACUAGAGAGGGGGAUGAAGAAAGGCGACACAUUUCCCAGGAUGAGAAAAAGCAGCGCAGAUCGUAGCAGAGGAAUGGCGCCCACCCCCGAGUUGGACAAACAGAGGGGGGAAAGAAGACAGAGAGAUAGGCCAAAAAGAGUAGAGCCAGAUGACUGGGAGAGAGAACGAGAGAUGGCACGGCAGAGAGAGAGGUACAGAGAGAGGGAAAGAGAUGAGGGCAGAAGCAGGGGAAAGGAAGAGGGAAAAAACACAAGAGGAAGACCUGUAGAAGAUGAGAAAUCCCGAAAGAGGGACAGAUAUCAGGAGUCUGAUGUUGUUUUUCGAGACAGGAGAAAAGAAGGGGGAGAUUCACGGGACAGAAGAGAGAAGCAUGAAGCUAUAAAAAGAGAAAAGCCAAAGCCUAACAUGGGAGACAGGGAGGCCAAGGCGCCUUCUCCACACAGAAGAAGAGACAUCGAUAACUACUCUGAUAGAAAAGAGAGGGAAAAGGCACAAAGGACAGAGAGUAGGAGGGACACCAGGAGUGAAGGAGACAGUGACGAGAGAGAGCUGAAGAGGGAAAUAGUUCGGGUCAAAGAGAGGCAGGAGUUGACAUAUCACCACAGCAGAAGUGAGGGGGACAACACGGGAAAAACAGAGAGGGAGAAAGAUCGAGAGACGCAAGGACACAGGGUAGAGGACAGGCAGAGAUACAGAGACGGGGACAGAGAAGCGGAUCGAUCCAGGAGGAAGGGAGGGGAGAAAGAUAGGGAGAGGUACAGAGAGGCUGACAGGAGAGCAGACAGGGAAGGAGACAGAUGGAAAGAAAGUGUGAGAGACUUUAAGGAUGACAGGAGAGAGGAAGACCGAUACAGACCACAUGAGCAGCGUAGAGGCAGGGAAACUAAGGAGAGAGAGGCCGAUCCGAGGAGGGAUGACACGACAGGCAGAAGAAGCCGAUCCCAGAACGAGACGAUCCCUCGGGUGCCCCCACGAGCCCAAAGCAGCGGGGAAUGGAGCAGCGACAUGAACAGUGAGAUGAGAUAUAGAAGAGGCAGAGACAGUUAUGAGGAGAGGGAAUCUGGCAGAGAGAGUACAGCUGAAAGUGACAGAGAAGAACAGAGAAAUCCAGCUGCUGAAAGAAGUCAAAGUGAGCAACAAAGAAGAGAGAGACAAGAGAGAGACAGAGAAGAGAUGACAGGGCAGAGAAGGGUGUGGGUAGAGCGACAGAGGGACAAGAAUAGUAAAGACGAAGUUGUAGACAGACAAAGGGGGAAAGAGAGGAGGAGAGAAGCCGAGAGGAGUAUGGAGUCACAGGCUGAGUGGGAAAGAGAGGGGCGGCGAGUAAAAGAGGAACCAGAUGAGAAAAACUUGGACCAAAGCAGUUGCAGAGGAAGACAUGAAGGCAGGAAUGAGAACAAGGGAGACAUAAAGAGGGAAACAGAGGGUGUUAGCGUAGAUGGAGAGGAGAUGAGUGAAGUCUGGAGAGAAGUAGAUAAGGGAGGGAGGGAACAUCUGUCUGACAGCGAUGGAGGGAUAGAGGGAAGACGGUGGAGGGAUGCAGAGGGAGAGAGUGUGACAGAUAACACAGAGGAGAGUGACAGAGAGGAAGAGGGUGGGAGCGAUUAUCGGGGCCGCUCCGAGAGCCAAGGAGGAAGUGAGAAAGGGUUGAGGGGAGAGAGAGACAGAAUGCUGUCAGGAGAGGAAGGCUUUGUGACCUUGUCCAGCGGUGGAGACGAGGAGGACGAAAGAGAGGAAGAAGAGGAAUUUAAAGACUGUCAAGAAUUCUUGGAAGGUGCAUAUGAUAGCCCCUCACAUGAUGCCAUCAAGGGGCAUGAGGGAGACGAGCACAGGGACAGGGCAAUGGGAAAGGAGGAGGCGUUUGAUGAAGAGAGGAGUGAGAAAAAUCCAAAGUACGUCUUCAAUGUGAUUGGGCAAACAUUGCCCAAGUCCAAAACCAGCAAGAUGUCACCGUCACAAGUUGAUGACAUGGGAGGAGUGGAAAGGGACAACCCGAAUAUAGAAAGUCAUUGCAGUGAUGACGCCGCACAGCAAUCUCAUCCAACUCAUAGAGAUUAUGAACAACCGAUCAACAACACCCAGGAUGCUGAGAGGAAGUGUGACGUGCCAAGGGAGGAAAGGCCUGCCACAGGAGACGCAACUGAAGUGGCUGUCAGAUUCAGAUCGUCAUCAUCAGCGCAUUACAGAGAGACUGGAGAAGAAACGAAGAGCAAAGUGGAGAACCCGUAUGCAGAAAUAGGCACAAUUAAGAGAGACUCACAGACUGAAAAACUCCUCAUAGAGUGGAGAGAGAAAAAUAAAGAAGGGGUGGAAGGGGACAGGGAGCAAGCUUUGCCAGUCCCCGGUAAUCCCUACGGUGAUGUUUGUUCUCAGGUGAAUUUUGAACAAAUUCAACCCAUCUUGGAAGGGCUUAACGCGGGAGCAAUGAGCCCAGAAGAGGUGGAGGCCAUUCGGAUCCGAAUGAGCGGGGCAUGGAGCAUGUCCGAGGAGCCCAAGCGACAUUCCCAAGCCCCCCAUCUUAAAUGGGCCAAAAAUGUGUUGUGGGAGAUUCUGGGACGCUCAGAGGAACAUACUGUGGAUGAAGCUAACGCAGAAGUACGAGGAAACCAAGGGGACGACCAGUUAGAGACGGCGAUCGAGAACGACAAACAUCCGGAGGAGGCUGCACAACGGUCUGCAGAGGUGCCCGUUGAUCGGUUGAGUACGGACGAACAGCACUCAGAGCUGGAGGAGGAAGAGCCGUUGGUAGGGGAGGAGUUGAGAGGUACGGGUCAGAGCCAAGCUGACAUGCAUGCUGACCAACUAACAGCUAUGCAUGGUGACACACCUACAUACACUCAUGCUGACACACUGUUAGACACAGAAGGGAAGGGGGAUCCCAGUGUGGACAAAGAUACUGAGCCGACUGGUCUUCUUCAGAUAGAAAAGGCAGCUACAGAGGUGGAAAUGAGUGACGAGGCAGGGGAUGAGGUUAAAUUAUCCGAUAUGGAAAAAGAAGCAACCAGAGAGAAGGAGAUAGAGAUGUAUUUAUCUGUGAGCAACACGCUGUACAAGCCUAACAGCUGCCCCAUUCUUAAUUAUGAAACGGAGUCUGACAUCCUCGUUCCCUCAAGAGAGGUUGGGGGCCAGGAGGGGAAAAACAGAAUGAGUGAAAGUGAGGAAGAAAAGCAGGAAGAGCAGCCUGAGGAGAGGGGUACUGGGUACUGGAAGGAGCUGAGGUGGAUAGCGGACAGGCAGAAAAUAAAAUAG